rnacentral:ncRNA from 2 species
AACUGAAUAGCUGAUUAGGGUUGCUGAAAAGCAUUAAUAAGGAAUCCGGUGCGAAGCCGGAACAGCCCCGCUACUGUAUGAAGGACGAAUCCCUUAUAAGAAUCCACUGGGUAAGCCCGGGAAGGCAAGGGAGGAGGAUGACUUCGAGUCAGGAGACCUGCCCUGAUCAGGAUCAUAAG